UUUCUUUCUAAAGUUAAAAAGGCUACUUAAUAAAACAGCUUGUAACUGAGUAUAUACCUGCUUUAAGCAAUGUAACAAAUACACAUGAAAGCUCUUGAGGCCCUACACUGUGCAAGGCCAAGUAUGAAUGUGCCUUUAAAAAAACAAGCCAGGCCAGAGAGACAGAAAGAAAGAAAGAAAAAGAAAUGAAAGGACGAUUGGCCUUUAGCAUAGAAAUGCUGAAUCACAGGUAUGAUGUGGUUGUUGGUACGAAGCCAUAAUAUCUGCAAUAAUAACCAACCACCAUGUCCUUGAUAUGGCAAUAGAUUUUUAUGAAGGAUCAUCAGACCCAUAAGUAAUACUCCUCAGGACAAGUCAUUGACAAACCAUCAUUAAUCUGCUAUUAAACUCACAAACCUCUUUCUAGAGACAUUUUCAUUAACUCAACACUAUAAUGUAGUCUAAACCUAUUUGACCUUGUGUCAAGGACAUAUAUUUUUCUGCUUGUCUGUGGAGUUUUAAUCUCCUAACAGCAUAUUGCUCAGAUUUCUCCCUCUCUCUCUUUUUCUCUCUCUCUCUCUCUCUCUCUCCUCUCCCCUGUCAUUCUAAAACACACAGUCAGUAAAGCUCUAGUGGAGAUAUUUACCUUUACACUGGCUUGGAAUAAUUUUAUCAGGCCUAAACGCAGCAGAAAGAGGAACGUUUUCAUUCCCAUCGUCGGAUCCUUUAACACAGGGUUUUUACAGAGGGGUCGGCUUGCGACGCCUCUGAGCAACAAAACCAGAAUAACCAUCUUUCCUGCCUGAUGGUGCUUUUUUUUUUUUUCUUUCUUUCUCUCUCUCUCUCUUAAGAAAAUGAAAUCCAGCAUAAUUUAAGAGCGCAGCCUCUGAGGAGUGAAACUGCUGGAAAUUCUUGGGGCUGAUUUUUGUUAAGAACCUUUAUGCAAACCAUCCCCCUCAUUUUCUUGCUGAAGACAGGAUGAAGGGGGGGGGAUUGCAUGAGCUCUUCAUUUCUCAGAGACAGACAGAGAGAUUUCAUCAGCUUUUAUUAAGGUAAAGGACAUUUUACUGUAGGGGACUUUUUUUUUUUAAUUUUUUUUUAAGUGUAAGCCUUUUUAAAUAUAUAUAUCCAUAUAGUCAUAACAUUUGCAUUUAUUACCAUGUCCUAAUUUACAAGUAUUUGCAAACCAAACAUGAAUUGUUUUCCUUUCCUUUUCCAAACCCUACACUAGCCUUUUUUCCGGCAAUAAACUGCAAUUCUGCACCAGGAUAAAGAAUGACUUAUUAUGAAUACUUUUCCCUUUUAUUUUAUUUCAAUUUAUUUUGAAACCCUCCUUUUUUGUCAAGUUGAAAAACAUGCUGCUCUUUAAUGGCUGCUUAGCUGUUGUCUGUUUUCAAAAUGGCGGAGUCUCUAACAGCAGCAGGAUGAAGAAGAAGGAGCCGCUACGCCAUUUCUGGGCGAGCCAUACUCGGAUACUAUCUGACUAAAUAGUAUGUGACGACUACUUCAAUUAAGGUUUAUUUAUUGCGUUUUGUCUUUAAAAACAUUUCCCAUGUCGCCAAACAAGACGACGACGUUUUUAAAUAUCACACCCAACCGUACUAAAUAGUAUGAAUAGUUAAUAUAUGCGACGUGACGUUUCGACAUACUAUUUAGUAGGCUAGUAUGAAUGCGUUGGAAGGUAGCCAUGGUGACCUAUACUAGCGCCAUUAGAGGCUCGAGCUUCCAUUUCACGCGCAGACAUGUUUUUUUUAAUGGGUUUUUACUAACCAAGGAAGGUUUGAAACCUCCAAAAAUCUCGGGUUUGGAUCCACAUAAGGAGGUAAAAAGUAGUUUUUCAGCUACAGAGCAUUAAAAAACGGGCUCAUCUCGUGAUCUGUAACCCCACCUUCGAGAAUGUUCCACACAGUAACUCGAGACAGGACGAGGCUGCAGAGUAAACAAGAAGCUGAGAGAGAAAGAAAGAAAGGACAUUUUGUUCUAUGCAUUUGAGCACACGUGAUAUGUCUGCAAAUAGUGAGUGGUUUGUGGUGUGUAGAUCUAUGUGCAUACUGUGUUUUUUCCCCCCUAAUUUUGUGCAUUCAUUUUAAUGUCUUUAGCAGUGUAAUGCAUGCACUUUCAAAGGCACCUGUAUGUCUGCAUUUAUUCCUCCUAGGCUAUAAGAACCUACCUACAUUUUCAGAGAAUCAAAUAUAUAGCAAUAAUAGUGCUUAUCGGUCAUUUCAGGCUUCCCACCCCCCCUAGAAUCCCUAUUCUGGGAGCGAGAGAGAGAAGAGAGGUAGGAUGUGUGAACUGGGUUUACAGUAAGAAAGGCUGGAAUAUGGUGCACUAGUGCAAAAAGUGAUCUGUGGCUCGUACUGAUUAAAGCUCCACGAGAUACAUGAGAGUACAGCUGGACGUGAGCAGCGUGAACGUAAUCAGCAAACGUGAGAAGGGCAUGUGGAUGUGGCGAUCUUUAACAAGAAAGAAAAAAGCUGAGACUCAUGCAGUCGGUCUAACCUUACAACAUAGCAGGAGUAAAAAAGUGGAGCAGCCCGGAGGGUGGAGGGCACACGCAGCUCCCUCAGAAGUGCUUUUGUCUGGUUCUAUUUUAAACACACACACACACACACACACACACACACACACACACACACACACAGAGAGAGAGAGAGAGAGAGAGGGACGGACAAGAGAGAAACCCUGCUGUCAAGAAUCUGGUUUCAUUCGCACCGGAUCCGUGAAGAAGAUUACCGUCAUUUGAAUAGGUAUCUGUCAGGCCAUGUUUGUGAGUACAACCCCGACAGAACGGCUGAUUUAGGAGCUAAUCGAUGUCGGCUGGUUAAAGGUCUGCUGAUGUGGAGAAUUUCCAGUGGAUUAAGUUUAGGGUUCAAAGGUCAGAUUAUAUGGUUAAACCUAACCACAGGGCUUGGCACACAGUGUUUGUGUUUAAAAUAAAGCAUUUUGAAAUGUAAGUACUGUUUAUUGAGGUUUGAGUGAGUGAGAAAUAAGGAAAUGUUGAUUUAAUUGUCUUUCAAUCCAAUUCUGUAUGUGAUUAGUGGAACCUUCCUUGUUUCUUAUUAAUCAAGUACUUGAAAGGAAUAUGCUGAUUUUUAUUUUUUUGAUACUGAAGGACCUAAGGCUGGGAAAUGUGGUGCGUGUUCAGUAUCUAUCUAUCUAUCUAUCUAUCUAUCUAUCUAUCUAUCUAUCUAUCUAUCUAUCUAUCUAUCUAUCUA